rnacentral:rRNA from 1 species
AUUGAACGCUGGCGGCAUGCCUUACACAUGCAAGUCGAACGGUAACAGGUCUUCGGAUGCUGCCGAGUGGCGUACGGGUGAGUAAUACAUCGGAACGUGCCCAGACGUGGGGGAUAACGAGGCGAAAGCUUUGCUAAUACCGCAUACGAUCUAAGGAUGAAAGCAGGGGACCGCAAGGCCUUGUGCGUUUGGAGCGGCCGAUGGCAGAUUAGGUAGUUGGUGGGAUAAAAGCUUACCAAGCCGACGAUCUGUAGCUGGUCUGAGAGGACGACCAGCCACACUGGGACUGAGACACGGCCCAGACUCCUACGGGAGGCAGCAGUGGGGAAUUUUGGACAAUGGGCGAAAGCCUGAUCCAGCAAUGCCGCGUGCAGGAUGAAGGCCUUCGGGUUGUAAACUGCUUUUGUACGGAACGAAAAGGCUCUGGCUAAUACCUGGGGCACAUGACGGUACCGUAAGAAUAAGCACCGGCUAACUACGUG